UCGCGAGCUCGUCGAGCUGGUUGGCCGCCUCGUCGAUGAUGGGGUCGCUCGCGAUGACCUCCUCGGCGAGCGCGACGUUCGACUCGUUGAACGCGGA
rnacentral:tRNA from 1 species